GACGAACGCUGGCGGCGUGCCUAAUACAUGCAAGUAGAACGCUGAAGGAGGAGCUUGCUUCUCCGGAUGAGUUGCGAACGGGUGAGUAGCGCGUAGGUAACCUGCCUGGUAGCGGGGGAUAACUAUUGGAAACGAUAGCUAAUACCGCAUAACAGUAGAUGUUGCAUGACAUUUGCUUAAAAGGUGCAAUUGCAUCACUACCAGAUGGACCUGCGUUGUAUUAGCUAGUUGGUGAGGUAACGGCUCACCAAGGCGACGAUACAUAGCCGACCUGAGAGGGGGAUCGGCCACACUGGGACUGAGACACGGCCCAGACUCCUACGGGAGGCAGCAGUAGGGAAUCUUCGGCAAUGGACGGAAGUCUGACCGAGCAACGCCGCGUGAGUGAAGAAGGUUUUCGGAUCGUAAAGCUCUGUUGUAAGAGAAGAACGAGUGUGAGAGUGGAAAGUUCACACUGUGACGGUAUCUUACCAGAAAGGGACGGCUAACUACGUG
rnacentral:rRNA from 1 species